GCCACAAUCCAAUGCAUUUGACUAAUUAUAAGAGUUAGAGAUGGAUUAGGAGUGUUUAGGCAACA
rnacentral:sRNA from 1 species